GCCUGAGUGGCUCUGUAGGUUGAGCAUCUGGCUUUUGAUUUUGGAUCAGGUCAUGAUCCCAGGGUUGUGGGAUCGAGCCCCACGUCAGGCU
rnacentral:tRNA from 1 species